UAGGGAAUAUUGGGCAAUGGGCGCAAGCCUGACCCAGCCAUGCCGCGUGCAGGAAGAAGGCGUUAUGCGUUGUAAACUGCUUUUAUAUAGGAAGAAAAAGCUUUUGCGAAAGACAUUGACGGUACUAUAUGAAUAAGCACCGGCUAACUCCGUGCCAGCAGCCGCGGUAAUACGGAGGGUGCAAGCGUUGUCCGGAUUUAUUGGGUUUAAAGGGUGCGUAGGCGGCUUCUUAAGUCAGCGGUGAAAGCCGAUUGCUCAACAAUCGAACUGCCGUUGAUACUGAUUAGCUUGAGUUUGAUUGAGGCAGCCGGAAUGGAUAGUGUAGCGGUGAAAUGCAUAGAUAUUAUCCAGAACGCCAAUAGCGUAGGCAGGUUGCUAAGUCAUUACUGACGCUGAGGCA
rnacentral:rRNA from 1 species